AUUGAACGCUGGCGGCAUGCUUUACACAUGCAAGUCGAACGGUAACAGGCCUUCGGGCGCUGACGAGUGGCGAACGGGUGAGUAAUGCAUCGGAACGUGCCCAGUCGUGGGGGAUAACGCAGCGAAAGCUGUGCUAAUACCGCAUACGAUCUGUGGAUGAAAGCGGGGGACCUUCGGGCCUCGCGCGAUUGGAGCGGCCGAUGUCAGAUUAGGUAGUUGGUGGGGUAAAGGCCCACCAAGCCAACGAGCUGUAGCUGGUCUGAGCGGACGACCAGCCACAAUGGAACGGAGAAACGGCCCAGACUCCUACGGGAGGCAGUAGUUGGGAAUUUUGGACAAUGGGCGCAAGCCUGAUGCAGCGAUGCCGCGGGCAGGAAGAAGGCCUUCGGGUUGUAAACUGCUUUUGUACGGGACGAAACGGUCCUGGUUAAUACCUGGGGCUCAUGACGGUACCGUAAGAAUAAGCACCGGCUAACUACGUGCCAGCAGCCGCCGUAACAC
rnacentral:rRNA from 1 species